GGGGCGGGGAGCCGGGAGCGUGAGCUGGGAACGUGGGAGCGGCGAGCCCAGCCCGCACCGCAGGGGGCGUGUGAGCCAGAAAAGGGGCCCUGUCAUUGGGAAACGGGCGCCGGCGCCCCGGGGCCCUGUGAGCCGGGAGGGCGGGCGGUCGUCCUCUCCUGAGGGGCGGGAAGCUGGCCUUGGAACCCGGGCCCCUUCUGUGAGGGACCGGCCGGUAGCCGGGAGUAAGGUGCGAGGCGCCAGCGGUGGGCUUGGCCAGUGCCUGGGCCCUGCCGCCGCUGGGCUCCUAAUUGUUUUUAAUUUGAGGAUAAUGACAAUAUCCUGAUUUUCCUACCCAACACUUUGGCUUCUGAAGUGACAUUUAUCUAAAAACUGCUGCAUUGUUCCAGGUAAUUUUAACAAAACGUAAAGAUUUGUCAGCAGAACUAGACUUAGAAAUGACAUGAGAGGAAGAACAAGAAAAAUCUGAUGGAGAUGAAAAUAACCAUUCACAGAUUGACCUUAAAGCAAGAAGAAGAGAAUAGAAGAAAUGCUGGCAUGUUAUAUGAAAAAAUUAGGGAGCAGUUAAGAAGAAAGGAAGACCAAUAUAGUAAAGAAGCUGAAAUGAAACAGCAACUUGAACUCACUCUCAGAGCACUAGAUGGAACUGAAGACUGAGAAAGGAUCUGAAUCAGUGUCUCUCCAGGUUAUGGAAGAGUGACAUGACUCAGAAGCAGCUUUCUGGAGAAUGGAAUGCCAGAAGCUUACAGGAGGGAAUCCUGGCCAAUCACCUUGGCAAAGAAAAGCAGAAAGAAGUGGCUGAUAAAGAAAUGAACUCUUAGACAUUACAAAAAGGUAUUGAAAGUUAUGGAAGCAGCAAAUAAUCUCAUGGUUGUCUAAGAAGAGCUCUCCAAGUUUUACCUAUCACCAUCUGUGUAUGCACCGUGAGUGAAGUAAGAGGCUUAUUCUGUGUUGAUGUGUUUGCACCAGAGAAGUGGCCGUGGUCUGAUGUACGAGGACAGGUGGAGUUGGAAGACCUGCUGCUUAUUAUAUUUCUAGCUUCUUCCUUCCCAGAGUCGUUAUAGCUGAUGAGCUAACUGAUGUUUUUAUAGAAGUGCUUAGUGCAGCUCUCAAUAGGUUUAAUUCUUGUAAUUGACUAUUAAGAUGUUAGAACAGUAACAUAUU